ACAGCAGUCGCCACGGUAAAACGGAGGAUCCAAGCGUUAUCCGGAAUCAUUGGGUUUAAAGGGUCCGUAGGCGGUCUUGUAAGUCAGUGGUGAAAGCCCAUCGCUCAACGGUGGAACGGCCAUUGAUACUGCAGGACUUGAAUUAUUGGGAAGUAACUAGAAUAUGUAGUGUAGCGGUGAAAUGCUUAGAGAUUACAUGGAAUACCAAUUGCGAAGGCAGGUUACUACCAAUUGAUUGACGCUGAUGGACGAAAGCGUGGGUAGCGAACAGGAUUAGAUACCCGAGUAGUCCCUGUCUCUUAUAC
rnacentral:rRNA from 1 species